rnacentral:rRNA from 1 species
UACGUAGGGGGCAAGCGUUAUCCGGAUUUACUGGGUGUAAAGGGAGCGUAGACGGCCAUUCAAGCCAGAUGUGAAAGCCCGGGGCUCAACCCCGGGACUGCAUUUGGAGCUGUAUGGCUGGAGUGUCGGAGAGGCAGGCGGAAUUCCUAGUGUAGCGGUGAAAUGCGUAGAUAUUAGGAGGAACACCAGUGGCGAAGGCGGCCUGCUGGACGAUGACUGACGUUGAGGCUCGAAAGCGUGGGGAGCAAACAGG